rnacentral:rRNA from 1 species
GACAGAGGGUGCAAACGUUGUUCGGAAUUACUGGGCGUAAAGCGCGUGUAGGCUGCUUGGAAAGUCGGAUGUGAAAGCCCUGGGCUCAACCCAGGAAGUGCAUUCGAAACUUCCGAGCUCGAGUUCUGGAGAGGAUAGCGGAAUUCUCGGUGUAGAGGUGAAAUUCGUAGAUAUCGAGAGGAACACCGGUGGCGAAGGCGGCUAUCUGGACAGAAACUGACGCUGAGACGCGAAAGCGUGGGGAGCAAACGGG